rnacentral:rRNA from 1 species
UACGGGGGGGGCAAGCGUUGUUCGGAAUUACUGGGCGUAAAGGGCUCGUAGGCGGCCAACUAAGUCAGACGUGAAAUCCCUCGGCUUAACCGGGGAACUGCGUCUGAUACUGGAUGGCUAGAGAUUGGGAGGGGGAUGCGGAAUUCCAGGUGUAGCGGUGAAAUGCGUAGAUAUCUGGAGGAACACCGGUGGCGAAGGCGGCAUCCUGGACCAACACUGACGCUGAGGAGCGAAAGCCAGGGGAGCAAACGGG